rnacentral:snoRNA from 1 species
UACUGCCAAAAAAAAGAUUUUUUUUUAACUCAUGAGCAGUUGGUACAGUGUGGCUGCAAACAAAAGCUUCCUUGGUAGUGUAUGCAGCCUGUUGCUUAUGUGAGUUGCCUUAAGGGACCUUAGAGACAUUU